GAUGAACGCUGGCGGCGUGCCUAAUACAUGCAAGUCGAGCGAACGGACGAGAAGCUUGCUUCUCUGAUGUUAGCGGCGGACGGGUGAGUAACACGUGGAUAACCUACCUAUAAGUCUGGGAUAACUUCGGGAAACCGGAGCUAAUACCGGAUGAUAUUUUGAUCCGCAUGGUUCAAAAGUGAAAGACGGUCUUGCUGUCACUUAUAGAUGGAUCCGCGCUGCAUUAGCUAGUUGGUAAGGUAACGGCUUACCAAGGCAACGAUGCAUAGCCGACCUGAGAGGGUGAUCGGCCACACUGGAAGUGAGACACGGUAAAGACUCCUACGGGAGGCAGCAGUAGGGAAUCGUACGCAAUGGGCGAAAGCAUGACGGAGCAACGCCGCGUGAGUGAUGAAGGUCUUCGGAUCGUAAAACUCUGUUAUGAGGGAAGAACAUAUGUGUAAGUAACUGUGCACAUCUUGACGGUAACUAAUCAGAAAGCAACGGCUAACUACGUG
rnacentral:rRNA from 1 species